CACACUUGUAAUCGUGAUGUUGGUCUGAUAUUGGGAUUAAACAGCGCUCCUGUUCAUCUGAUGUUGCUUUAUCAAUAAAGGAUUAUAUUAACAUGUGAAAUGUUUUGAAAUCUCAAUGAAACCACAUUAAACCAUCUUAAACCUGUCACUGCUGAAGCGUUUGCAUAGAGAGAGUGUUUUACAUGAGCGACACACGCUUCAGUGCUCUGCAUGUGUUUAUAACUCUGUCAAACAUCAAACAUGAUCAACAACUGUUUUUCACUAGAACUGAACCUACAACCAACAAAAAUGACUUUCAGCACCAUAUUGAUCUGGACGCUGGCAGUAUUAUGUCGAGGAAUUACAGGACAGGUUUCUGUGACUCAGACUCCCUCAGCAGCAGCUGUUCAACCAGGAGAAACGGUUACUAUAAACUGUAAAACUAGCAGUGGAAUCGGAGAUCGUACUCAGGGUUGUGGUAACUGUCUCGCCUGGUAUCUGCAGAAACCUGGAGAAGCUCCUAAACUUCUCAUUUAUGGCAUUAGAUCACGACAGUCAGGAACUCCAUCUAGAUUCACUGGCAAUGGAGCAAAUUAUGGAACAGAUUUUACUCUGACCAUCAGUGGAGUCCAGACUGAAGAUGCUGGACAUUAUUACUGUCAGAGUCGACACUGGAUCAACAGUAACUGGGUGUUCACACAGUGAUAAAGAGUCGUACAAAAACCUCCG